rnacentral:rRNA from 1 species
CGAACGGGACUAUACUGGAAGAAGUUUUCGGAUGGAUUUCGGUAUAGUUUAGUGGCGGACGGGUGAGUAACACGUGAGCAACCUGCCUUCGAGAGGGGAAUAACGGCUGGAAACGGUCGCUAAUACCGCAUAACAUACCGGGAGGACAUCCUGCUGGUAUCAAAGAUUUUAUCGCUCGAAGAUGGGCUCGCGUCCGAUUAGGUAGUUGGUGAGGUAACGGCUCACCAAGCCGACGAUCGGUAGCCGGACUGAGAGGUUGAACGGCCACAUUGGGACUGAGACACGGCCCAGACUCCUACGGGAGGCAGCAGUGGGGGAUAUUGCACAAUGGGGGAAACCCUGAUGCAGCGACGCCGCGUGUGGGAAGACGGUCCUCUGGAUUGUAAACCACUGUCCCCAGGGACGAAGAUGACGGUACCCGGGGAGGAAGCUCCGGCUAACUACGUGCCACCAGCCGCGGUAAUACGUAGGGAGCGAGCGUUGUCCGGAAUUACUGGGUGUAA